GUUAGUUUCAUUUUAAUAAAUUUUAAGGGAGGUGAGUGUAAUUUACCCAAAUGCGAUUCACGUUCCUUUUUCUUUCCCAGCAAAGUUGAUUCACGUUUUCAGACUCAUGUUUAUCUUCCAGCAAGUUACACUAAGUUUCAAUCUAAACCAACAACACCGAGUCAUCGAUUCUCCUCACGUCCUCGAUACAACUUGCAGCGAUUCAACCAACAACACCGAGUCACACUUCAAACCGACUCAGCUCCAGGACAACAACGUCACGCGGUCUUUAACACAGAUCACAUCAACUCAGCUGCAGCACGCAGGAGCGCACAGCGUUGGAAUUCUCGGACUAGCUCCGAGCUUUUGGAGUUGCAGUGAACUCAAUUGGCCGUAAAAACGCCGGCAGAGGAUGCGAUCUGUGGCCGUAAAAACUGCCACUGCAUAAGACAACGCAUAAGCGUUCUGAAGCUGUCCGGUUGACACCAUAGAUGAUUGAAGAAUGAC